rnacentral:rRNA from 1 species
UACGUAGGUGGCAACCGUUAUCCGGAUUUAUUGGGCGUAAAGGGAACGCAGGCGGUCUUUUAAGUCUGAUGUGAAAGCCUUCGGCUUAACCGGAGUAGUGCAUUGGAAACUGGGAGACUUGAGUGCAGAAGAGGAGAGUGGGACUCCAUGUGUAGCGGUGAAAUGCGUAGAUAUAUGGAAGAACACCAGUGGCGAAAGCGGCUCUCUGGUCUGUAACUGACGCUGAGGUUCGAAAGCGUGGGUAGCAAACAGG